GGUAAGAUGACUGAGAACUAAGUGGCGGAUUGUAGUCCCGUGGACAGAGGUUAAAUUCCUCUUCAUACCA
rnacentral:tRNA from 2 species